rnacentral:rRNA from 1 species
CCUACGGGAGGCAGCAGUGGGGAAUAUUGGGCAAUGGGCGAAAGCCUGACCCAGCGACGCCGCGUGAGGGACGAAGGCCUUCGGGUUGUAAACCUCUUUCAGCAGGGAAGAAGCGAAAGUGACGGUACCUGCAGAAGAAGCACCGGCUAACUACGUGCCAGCAGCCGCGGUAAUACGUAGGGUGCAAGCGUUGUCCGGAAUUAUUGGGCGUAAAGAGCUCGUAGGUGGUUUGCCACGUCGGAUGUGAAAACCUGAGGCUUAACCUCAGGCCUGCAUUCGAUACGGGCAGACUAGAGUGUGGUAGGGGAGACUGGAAUUCCUGGUGUAGCGGUGAAAUGCGCAGAUAUCAGGAGGAACACCGGUGGCGAAGGCGGGUCUCUGGGCCAUAACUGACACUGAGGAGCGAAAGCGUGGGGAGCAAACAGGAUUAGAUACCCUGGUAGUCCACGCCGUAAACGGUGGGCACUAGAUGUGGGGACCUUCCACGGUCUCUGCGUCGCAGCUAACGCAUUAAGUGCCCCGCCUGGGGAGUACGGCCGCAAGGCUAAAACUCAAAGGAUUGACGG